UGUUGGUCUGCCUACCUAUGUACUGCUGGAAGUUACCCUCCCCCUACAUCCCAGUCACCGCAGUGGGUGCAUGCACUGGGUGGGCGUGGCGCUGACGAUGGUCGGUCUCGCGCUGGUCGGUAUAUCCAGCGUACUCAACAAGAUCAACAAACACGAGCCAUAGUGCGCCAAUCAUAAUCGUUGUAAACGGAUGAACGCGUGCCGACGGCAGCGGCGACAUGAACACGUCGAGAGGCUUUCAUGCAAACGAUUCUAGUGCUAUAACCACUGCGCCAGGGCACGAUACAAGGACACCACACACCGAUGUUACACGUAGACGCAUGAAGCUAGCUCGUCUUCGGAAAUACUAUUCUAUUGCAAACAAAGAACCAGCGUAUUAGCUGAACACGUUUCUGCGAUAUAUAGACAGCUUCUCCGACUUUUUUAAUAUUUACGUCCAUGAGCCGAUUACAUUCCAGGGAUGAAACGUCAUGAUCUUAUGUAUUCUGAAAACGAUGUGACGUCAGUUAUAUUUACUUGCUUUGCUGUCGUUAUUUAUUAUUUAAUUAAUGUAAUUAACUAAUGAUGAUUAAUUAACUUAUUAGUGUGCGUGUUGGUAGUAACAAUGCUGUCCAGUGAUGUUAGCUGUGCUUAGAAACAUAGAUGGACGGAUAAGUAGUUAGGUAGAUAGAUGGAUAAGUAAAUGGCUAGAUGGAUGGGUAGAUAGAUAGAUGUAUAGAUAUAUACGCGGCUCGAUAUAGACACUGCCUUUUAUUACGCUUUGAAUAACGAGCAACUCCGUUGUCCGCGCGUUAUAUCAACUGAUACUGCAUUAACAUGUAAUUAUACACGAUGUACACAAUAAUAUCGAUAGAUAGAUAUAGAUGGAUAUAUAAAUUAGAUUUUGCUUGGUGCGUCUUUGGAAUAACGCGUACGGUUCUCAGUGCGGGGAUACAGGAUAUAGUUUUCCGUUACCCUACAGUAUUUUAUGCCGAUAUUCCAACCGAUUUUCACAUGUUCUGGUAGACGUACACUGAGCCUUUAUGCUGGUAUAAUAUUUGAGAACGUCCCAUUAAUAAGCAAACCAUUUUUCAGAGCAGUACAUUCUCUUUGGAAGUAUUUGACGUUGUUUAAUCUACUAUGUACUUCUUGUGCUGUCAUUAGUGAACUGUUAUGCAUUAUCUAUUGCAAGUGUACUUGGAAUCGUGCAAUCGUGUGUUUUACUUGUACGUCUAUUUGUAUAUAAUAUUGAGUUUAUAAUCUUGUGAUUAGUAUAAGUCCACGAGUAUGCGCGUUCGUGAUAUGGAUUAUAAUAAAUCUACGUUAUUAUAUACGUA